UGAAAUUUGGGUUUUCACUGGUGUUCUUGAGAAAGAGGUUACACUCAUUAUAUGCGGACCCACACAUCGGAUUUCUUACGUGCCGGGUACAAGCACCAUAUACAUAUACAAGUGAUUUUACAGGUUACCCGCCUGGAGAUUAGGAGCCGGGCCCCCACUGUGGAGUUUCCCUCUGAGGACUGGUGGGUCCCUGAUGAGUUUGAGCACAGUGCCAAUUGCAUGUGCGAGGAUUGUGUUGCAUGGCAGCAGUGAUCCAGAGUGAUUCUUUUUCAUUCUUUUGAUGUACUCCCUUUUGAUGAAUUAAUGCUUAAAUUGUUAUCUUUUUGUGUAUAUAUCAUGCCU